GCCGUACCUGGCACCCGUAACUACGGGGACGCGCAGCACGCCAGCUCCCAGCGCAACCUCACGCGUGUGCCCCCUCAGCGCUCACCCACGGGGGAGCGGAGCUUUGUCAUCACUUUCCCAGCCCAGCAGCAGCGCCGGGCACGGCUCGGGCCGCGAGGAAGUGGCGUCGGCCGCGGGCGCCAGCGGAGGAAGCGGCGGGGCCGUGCCGGUCUGCUGAAAAUUAAGUACAUUGUGUGCUACCGAGUCAGCUGUUUUGCCUCCAGACCGUCCAUCUCUCAGCUGGC
rnacentral:lncRNA from 1 species